rnacentral:rRNA from 1 species
AAUAUUGGUCAAUGGGUGAGAGCCUGAACCAGCCAUGCCGCGUGCAGGAAGACGGCCUUCUGGGUUGUAAACUGCUUUUGUCAGGGGAUAAAACGCCCAUGCGUGGGAGAUUGAAGGUACCUGACGAAUAAGCCACGGCUAACUACGUGCCAGCAGCCGCGGUAAUACGUAGGUGGCGAGCGUUGUCCGGAUUUAUUGGGUUUAAAGGGUGCGUAGGCGGCCUUGUAAGUCAGUUCUGAAAUAUCCCGGCUUAACCGGGAGGGUGGGAUUGAUACUGCAGGGCUUGAGUAGAGUCGAGGUAGGCGGAAUUGACGGUGUAGCGGUGAAAUGCUUAGAUAUCGUCAAGAACACCGAUAGUGUAGACAGCUUACUAGACUCAAACUGACGCUGAGGCACGAAAGUGUGGGGAUCAAACAGG